AGUCUCGCCAGUGCUUGAUGUAGUCCUUGUUGAUGUAGCCCUCCACCUCCUUCAUCUUGCCUUCAUCGGGCAGGACGAUCAUCAUGGAGGUGUUGCCCUUGUAGGGCAGCAUGACGACUGUAGUGUGGUUGUCGGCGUCCUGGUAGAAUUGGUAGCGGCCAUUCCUCUUCAUCAUGUCCACCUGGACCUUGGUGGUUUCGUCCACAUUGAAGUCCGCCUUGUGCGUCU